rnacentral:rRNA from 12 species
GAUGAACGCUGGCGGCGUGCCUAACACAUGCAAGUCGAACGGAGAUUUAACGCUGAUGAAGCUUCGGCAGAUUCUUGUUAAAUCUUAGUGGCGGACGGGUGAGUAACGCGUGGGCAACCUGCCUCAUACUGGGGGAUAACAGCUGGAAACGACUGUUAAUACCGCAUAAGCGCACGGUAUCGCAUGAUACAGUGUGAAAAACUCCGGUGGUAUGAGAUGGGCCCGCGUCAGAUUAGCCAGUUGGCAGGGUAACGGCCUACCAAAGCGACGAUCUGUAGCCGGCCUGAGAGGGCGGACGGCCACAUUGGGACUGAGACACGGCCCAAACUCCUACGGGAGGCAGCAGUGGGGGAUAUUGCACAAUGGAGGAAACUCUGAUGCAGCGACGCCGCGUGAGUGAAGAAGUAUUUCGGUAUGUAAAGCUCUAUCAGCAGGGAAGAAAGACUCGUAAGAGAGAUGACGUAC